ACUCGUCCGGGUCCCGCUUCUCCGCUGCCAUCGUUUCGCAGCGGCAGAGUAGCCGCACCAGGUUCAGCUCCAGCCUCGACGCUGCCAUCCCCUCUCGGCGGUACCCGGUCCCUUCCGCCGGCGCCAUCUUGGAAAAGGCGUCUUAGCUCUUCCGGAAGGGUUGAAAGGACCGGAUCCUUUGAGGUCAGGUUCAUAUGCAAUACGUCCUCUACUUAUUCUUUUCUUUCUGAUCGGAAUUCCUUCCCCCACACCCACUCCUGUUUGGGUUCUUCUCAUACUGAGCUCUUCCGUAUCCAGGCAGCCUUCCCGGUUCUUCCUGGGGUACGGCCCUGGGACUAAGGAAUCCGCAGCUUAGGGGCCCAUCCAGUUUGUGAUUAUGUUCUUCCGGUUCUGACGCUGACUCCACCCCCCCCCCGCCCCCCGCCGUGGCCUUGAGCGAGGUUUCUUAAUUUUUCUGGGCUCGGUUCCUCCUUUGGGUGGAACUUUGGGUGGUGUGACAAAGCCUGCCUCCAGGGGAACAUUAGCUAGCCCUGGGGUGAGAGGUGGGGCGGGGUCGCCCCUAACCCACCAGGCCUCAUGGAGAGAACCCCACCUGGGUCCCCAGCCCUCCAGCUGAGGCCCAUUCUGUGAGCUCCUCCCACCCCAGGCUUGCAGACCGGGUGAGGAGGGGGGACUUUAGAGGGACUAGAGCCUGGCAUGCAGCCCUCAUCCAUCUUCCCACUCCUCACGUCACUUGUCACCUGGUCACAUCUGUGGGCCUGGUGUUCUCGAGAAAUACUAUGAAGGAGAGGAAACCCAGGGUAGAUGAAGGAAUCCAGGGGGCAGAUGAGGCAGGUUCUGAAUCCCAGCCCUGUCCCAUCCCAAAUACGUGGCCUUGGACAAGCCUCUCAACUUUCCGUCAUGUGCAGUCUGGACUAGGGUUCUUCACUGUCCCCCACCCCACCCCCAUGGGCCCCACCUGCCAGCAGAUUCCCACAACUGCCCAGCUGAUUUGCAGCCUGGGAGCUGGUCUGAGAGGGGAUGGUGGGGGUGUGUGGUUUCUAGCUCUGUUGGGCUCACCAGGAACCGAUCCCUUCAUAGGGCAGAUGGCCCCUACAGCUGACAUUUAAGCCCUACCUGGGGAGAGGCUGGGUGCUGAAACAGGGCACCAGGAGGCAGCUCCCAGGACAACAGGCUCUGCCAGCCCCUCACCCCCGUUUCCAGAUUAACCAGCCCUUCCAGCAAGCCCACCACUCUAGCGCCCGGAGUGCGUGUGAAAUUCCAGCAGCAGCAUUUGCGGGACAAUCGAGGCAGGUCCUCCCAGGCCGGGGGGCACAUCCCCCUGCCCUGCACCCCUUUUGGCUGAGGUCACAGGGUGGACCUCUCCCCCGCCCCACCUGUCAACCCCUGCUCUUCCAACUCUGAACCAGUCCGAGCAGGAAUUACACGCAAACACUUUUCAGGCACUUUUUAUUUCACACGGCUCGUGGGGCACCUGGGGCACCUCUCGUACCAGACCUGUGGCCGUGUGUCUGGGGAGCGACCCAGGCCUGAGAGAGAGGAAGCCCCACUCCGGAGAUUCCCCAGACUGUCACUGUUGACCAGUAGGAAUGUACAACCCCAGGCCUUGCCCUCCCUGCCGGUGAGUGGUCCUGAGUCGCGGCUCCUGUUCGCCACACGGAACGGGCGGCGUGCCAAGGAUGGCCUCCUCCAGCCUCCUGAGUCCAGGGCGUGGUGGACAGAAGAGUGACGGCCACAUUCAAGUCUCCCUGGGAUGUGAGGUCUGUGGUGCUGCGGGCGGAGGCUGCCUACCACCCUGUGUCCUGACUCCAACCACCAGCCUUGAUCCCCAGAGAGGCUCCAACGCUCCCUCAAGUGCAUGCCAGCCAGGUGGCCGGUUGCCAGCUGGGCCAGAGGAGGAGUCUGAGACGGACUUGGGGCAGUCAGGUGCCCCAAGGGUCCAAAGCCCCUGCGCACGGUCCUGGCCUUCAGACCACGGGCCCCGAGCCGUCCUCAGUGCGAGUCUGGGCCUCCUCCGUGUGGCGGCUGUUGCGGGCUUUGCUCCAAAGACUCAUGUCCAGGUUACAAGGGCGAUGCAGGGCGUUAAUAUAAAAGUUUGUACAUACACAUAUAAAAAACAAUUUGGUCUCUUGUUAA